rnacentral:lncRNA from 1 species
GCGCGACCAGCGAUUAUUUGGUGCUGAAUUUCAGUCGCUGACCACAAGGACCAGGGACAACGCUUGCGGCCACCAUGAAAUUCUUCCUGCUCAUCGCCAUCCUAGUUGUGGGCCUGCUGUGCGUCCAGGCGCAGUUUGGUCGCGGCUUCGGACGCGGCUACGGCGGCUACGGAGGCGGGCGCGGCUUCGGAGGAGGCUUCGGCCGCGGUUACGGAGGCGGCUUCGGACGCGGCUUUGGACGUGGAUAUGGACGCGGAUUCUACGGGUGACCACCGAAUUGGACUGCGGACAAUGGAAAAGCAUGGAUGACUGGAUAACGACAAGGCUGCACACCUCAUGGAUCUGGAAGUUUCGAACAAAGGAUCCCCUGUGUGUACGUUACAAUAUAAAACACUGAAUAAAUGAGUACGUACACAAACA